GGUUCUAUAGUGUAGUUGGUUAUCACUUCGGAUUCUGAUUCCAUAGCUCCUCCAAGCGAGUGCUGCGAUAAGUUUCCGGCGACCCCGGUUCGAGUCCGGGUAGGACCU
rfam:Microdochium bolleyi strain J235TASD1 unplaced genomic scaffold Micbo1qcscaffold_22, whole genome shotgun sequence.